rfam:Gossypium hirsutum cultivar TM-1 chromosome 22, whole genome shotgun sequence
UUGCCAGUGAGGAUAUCUAUGACAAAUACCAUCUUUCGGGACUGAAUUGCUCUUCGAGCUUUGAUGUCCGGCUGCAAAUCUGAGGCAU